GCUUAUGGCCAUACCACCCUGAGCAUGUCCGAUCUUGUCUGAUCUCAAAAACUAAGCAGGGUUGGGCUUGGAUGGUAGCCUGCCUGUGAAUGCCAGGUGGUGUGAGUG
rnacentral:rRNA from 1 species